GAGAUACAGCUCAGUGGUAGAGCACUUGCCUGGCAAUCAUGAGACCCUGGGUUCAAUCCCCAGCAUGACA
rnacentral:tRNA from 1 species